rnacentral:rRNA from 1 species
UACGUAGGUGGCAAGCGUUGUCCGGAUUUAUUGGGUUUAAAGGGUGCGUAGGCGGCCUUGUAAGUCAGUGGUGAAAUACCCCAGCUUAACUGGAGGGGUGCCAAUGAUACUGCAGGGCUUGAGUACAGAUGAGGUAGGCGGAAUUGACGGUGUAGCGGUGAAAUGCAUAGAUAUCGUCAAGAACACCGAUAGCGAAGGCAGCUUACUGGGCUGUAACUGACGCUGAGGCACGAAAGUGUGGGGAUCAAACAGG